ACAUACUUUGGCUGUAGUAUACACUUAAUAGCAUUUUAGUCUGCCGUUCGUACCUGAACGGGGGGAAAAUACAAUGUAGAAAAUGGCUGGUCCGUUUUUGUUGAAAGACUGUUCAAGAAAUAAUGAGUGAAUAAAGCAAAAGCCCAUUUUUUAUCGUUUUAUAAAUAAAUAUGCAGCGAAACCUCUCCUUGACUAGCCUCCAUUCUUUUGUUAUACAAAACUUGUCAACUAUCUUUCAAGCUCUCUCCGCAGUUUAAAGGUCUUAAUUGGAUUCCAUCAAUAUAUUGCUUGACACGACCUCGGGUCCACCACAUUCCCUCUCUACUCUGCGGAGGGAAGCUGCCUCAUUCAUUCCGUCAGGCUUUGUAAUGUCGUGAAUAUUCUUGGUUAAAUUGACGGUUUUCAGAGCUAUUAUUUAAGCCUGAUUGGACUGCAAAAGCAUGUUUUAAAUGAAGUGAAUGUCAAGAAAGAAAGAAAGAGAGAAAAUAGCAUGUUACCUCUACACACGGGUCCGUAUAAAGUAUCUCGCUCUCUGUAGGCCGACUCGAGUGUAAAACUUUGUAAGUAUAUGUAUGAAAAGCACAAAUGACUAGGUUAUUGAAAUAGAAUUAGGCUGCCAGGCUUUGAGUAACAGUCGGCCCUGACGUUCUCUCACUCUCCUUUUUCUUUCUUUGUUCCAUGGCUAUUGACUGGCAUGGAGAGGCGUUUGAUUGUUAAGACAGCAAUGACUGUGCCUGAUCCUGACCCAAUAAAAGGAGCAGACUACCACAUCCAUGACAGCAAGCAUGUUCCUUCUCAUCAGUCAGGACUCCAGUGAAGAUCUGUGAGGGUCUGAGAAUAUAAAUACAUCCUCACUGAUCAGAGACCAGGUCGUCCUGCUCUUGAACACUUCCAGACUGGCCCUUACACAGCUAUGACUGACUGUGGUGGAAAGGGUUUUACUAUUAACUUGGAGACUUGUAGCUGACAGAAAAACCUGUGCAGGAGCAUGUGCAGGUGGCAGAUAACAAGUGUACAAUAACAGCCUGCGAGUGAGACCACAUUGAGGAGGCAGCACAAACAAGAAGAAACCUUCAAGAAAGUCUCAAGGCUAAAGAGGCUUCAGAGGGCGACUCUCUCUCUCUCUCAGGGUCAUGAGAAACCAUUUCCCGCCAUAACUGACUGGCCUGUGACACAAGAGGGUUUGCCCGGACAACAUCUCAGCAGCCCCAAUGUAACACUGAAGGUACAGUACAACAGCCUGGGUUGCACUGAGGGAUUUAGUAUUCCAAUAAAUCAUUGAAAAAAUCUAAUUUCCUAUAGAUUUCAAUUUCCCCUGAACAGAUCAACAUUUAUCGAUUUCAGGUAUAGAAACAUGUCAAGCCUCUCAUAGGACUCUGUGGUGAAGGAUUAUCAUAGGAAUGGUAGCUGCUUGUUUUUACUGUAGAUCUGGACAUCAGGACUCUCAUCUGGUUUCUUGCUUGUUGGGUAAUGAAUACAGCAUAUAUACAGGACUCUAUUGGCCUGCAGCAGCAGCAUAAAUGAUAUGCGUUCAAAAUUAUUUUCAUAAUGAUAGCAGUAAAUAACUAAAAUACAUAUAAUGGCACUCCGUUUGUACUUUAAUUUAGAGUGAUGGCUUACAGUUUGUGUAGUAUUAUUCGUGGCUAGUUUUUGUGUUUGUUUGUUUUUUUGCUUAUACACUACCGUCUGGGGUCAGUAAGAAUUUUUAAAGACAUGCAUACUUUGAUUCAGCAAGGAUGUGUUAAAUUGA